rnacentral:rRNA from 1 species
UACAGAGGCUGCAAGCGUUAUUCGGAUUCACUGGGCGUAAAGGGUGCGUAGGCGGCCAAGUGUGUGAGGCGUGAAAGCCUGGAGCUUAACUCCAGAAUUGCACCUCAAACUACUUGGCUAGAGCAUUGGAGAGGGUAGCAGAAUUCAUGGUGUAGCAGUGAAAUGCGUAGAUAUCAGGAGGAACACCAAUUGCGAAGGCAGCUCGCUGGGACGUUACUGACGCUGAGACGCGAAAGCGUGGGGAGCAAACAGG